AUGUUUGCAGUGGUUAAAUUUCCAAAUGAAGAAAACAGUUUAGCUGUUGUCUCAAAGAGUUGGUGCACAAAGAACAGAUGUUAUUGGCCUCCAUAUAAAACCCAGGAGAGAUUGCGGAAGGCAGUGAUCUUACAUGAAGUUCCAGACAUUAAUACAUGGGAGGUGUUCUCCAUGGAGAUAUUGAAGAUCAAGGAUUCGUAUGACAAAGCACAUGAGUGCCUGGUUCGGGCUGAGAAAGAUUCAAGUCUUGAAACGGAACCAGAAACCACACAAAGGAAACGAAAGCGAAAUCCAAAGUAUGACCAGACUGACUCUGAGGAGUCUGACGCUGCUGAACAGCCCUUCCCCCCCAGCGCCGAAGCCCCCCAGCUUUACCACUAAGAAAAAGUCAUCAGGACCCCGUUUCCGGCCCUCUUUGACACCCUGUGCUGACGGUUG